GUUCCAGCCAGAACGAAUUUUUAGGGUGGAAUACAACCCUUUCCCUAAGCACCCUCAUCAUGCAGUCAAGGCAAUCCUCAUCAGAUGAGUGUAUGUGAUCAGAAGAGGAAUGAGAUGUAAUGAGUAACAGUACAAUGAUCCCCACCCUCAAUUUCUCUCUCAAUCUCUUGGAAGUGCUGGGAACCACAUGAGAUCAUGACAGACACUUCAACGUGGGGGCAAGUAUUAAUCCU
rnacentral:lncRNA from 11 species